rnacentral:rRNA from 1 species
CUACGGGACGCUGCAGUGAGGAAUAUUGGACAAUGGUCGAAAGACUGAUCCAGCCAUGCCGCGUGCAGGAUGAAUGCCCUAUGGGUUGUAAACUGCUUUUAUACGGGAAGAACACCACCCACGUGUGGGUGACUGACGGUACCGUAAGAAUAAGGACCGGCUAACUCCGUUCCAGCAGCCGCGGUAAUACGGAGGGUCCAAGCGUUAUCCGGAAUCAUUGGGUUUAAAGGGUCCGUAGGCGGGCUAUUAAGUCAGAGGUGAAAGUUUGCAGCUCAACUGUAAAAUUGCCUUUGAUACUGGUAGUCUUGAGUUAUAGUGAAGUGGUUAGAAUAUGUGGUGUAGCGGUGAAAUGCAUAGAUAUCACAUAGAAUACCAAUUGCGAAGGCAGAUCACUAACUAUAUACUGACGCUGAUGGACGAAAGCGUGGGGAGCGAACGGGAUUAGAUACCCGGGUAGUC